UACGGAGGGUGCAAACGUUGCUCGGAAUCAUUGGGCGUAAAGCGCACGUAGGCGGCUCGUUAAGUCGGAUGUGAAAGCCCUUGGCUCAACUGAGGAAGUGCACCCGAAACUGAGUAGCUGGAGUACGAAAGAGGGUCGCGGAAUUCCCGGUGUAGAGGUGAAAUUCGUAGAUAUCGGGAGGAACACCGGUGGCGAAGGCGGCGACCUGGGUCGAUACUGACGCUGAUGCGCGAAAGCGUGGGGAGCAAACAGG
rnacentral:rRNA from 1 species